rnacentral:rRNA from 1 species
UACGUAGGUGGCAAGCGUUGUCCGGAUUUACUGGGCGUAAAGAGCGCGCAGGCGGUCGAUCAAGUCGCGUGUGAAAGCCCACAGCUCAACUGUGGAACUGCCCUGGAUACUGGCGGGCUUGAGAGUCGUCGAGGGUGGCGGAAUGGACGGUGUAGCGGUGAAAUGCAUAGAUACCGUCCAGAACCCCAAUUGCGUAGGCAGCUGCCUAGGCGACAUCUGACACUGAGGCACGAAAGCGUGGGGAGCGAACAGGG